CGCGCAGGCGGUUAUACAAGCCUGGUGUGAAAGACCGCAGCUCAACUACGGGAGCGCGCUGGGAACUGUAUGACUAGAGUUCAAGAGGGGAAGCUGGAAUUCCUGGUGUAGGGGUGAAAUCUGUAGAGAUCAGGAAGAACAUCAGUGGCGAAGGCGAGCUUCUGGCUAUGAACUGACGCUGAGGCGCGAAAGCGUGGGGAGCGAACAGGAUUAGAUACCCUGGUAGUCC
rnacentral:rRNA from 1 species